rnacentral:rRNA from 1 species
UACAGAGGGUGCAAGCGUUAAUCGGAAUUACUGGGCGUAAAGCGUGCGUAGGCGGUUAUGUAAGUCAGAUGUGAAAGCCCCGGGCUCAACCUGGGAAUUGCAUCUGAGACUGCAUAGCUAGGGUGCGGAAGAGGGAAGCGGAAUUUCCGGUGUAGCGGUGAAAUGCGUAGAUAUCGGAAGGAACACCAGUGGCGAAAGCGGCUUCCUGGUCCAGCACCGACGUUCAGGCACGAAAGCGUGGGGAGCAAACAGG